rnacentral:rRNA from 1 species
UACGGGGGGGGCAAGCGUUGUUCGGAAUUACUGGGCGUAAAGGGCGCGUAGGCGGCUCGUCAAGUCGGGCGUGAAAUCUCCGGGCUUAACCCGGAAAAGUCGUUCGAUACUGUUGAGCUAGAGUGUGGAAGAGGCUACUGGAAUUCCGUGUGUAGCGGUGAAAUGCGUAGAUAUACGGAGGAACACCAGUGGCGAAGGCGGCUGCCUGGCCCAAUACUGACACUCAGGUGCGACAGCGUGGGGAGCAAACAGG